AAUUUGACCUGGCUCAGGACGAACGCUGGCGGCGUGCCUAAUACAUGCAAGUCGAGCGGACAGAUGGGAGCUUGCUCCCUGAUGUUAGCGGCGGACGGUGAGUAACACGUGGGUAACCUGCCUGUAAUGACUGGGAUAACUCCGGGAAACCGGGGCUAAUACCGGAUGGUUGUUUGAACCGCAUGGUUCAAACAUAAAAGUGGCUUCGGCUACCACUUACAGAUGGACCCGCGGCGCAUUAGCUAGUUGGUGAGGUAACGGCUCACCAAGGCAACGAUGCGUAGCCGACCUGAGAGGGUAUCGGCCACACUGGGACUGAGACACGGCCCAGACUCCUACGGGAGGCAGCAGUAGGGAAUCUUCCGCAAUGGACGAAAGUCUGACGGAGCAACGCCGCGUGAUA
rnacentral:rRNA from 1 species